CAGUCGCCGCGGUAAGACGAACCGAGCGAACGUUGUUCGGAAUCACUGGGCGUAAAGGGCGCGUAGGCGGGCUGAUAAGUCGGGGGUGAAAUCCCAAGGCUCAACCUUGGAACUGCCUUUGAUACUGUUGGUCUUGAGUCCGGGAGAGGUGAGUGGAACUGCGAGUGUAGAGGUGAAAUUCGUAGAUAUUCGCAAGAACACCAGUAGCGAAGGCGGCUCACUGGCCCGGAACUGACGCUGAGGCGCGAAAGCGUGGGGAGCAAACAGGAUUAGAUACCCCUGUAGUCCCUGUCUCUUAUAU
rnacentral:rRNA from 1 species